GUCACACACUCUAGUGAACCAAGUUAGUUUUCUGCCAUGGGUGGCCAUCCCACAUCCUCUAGGAACACCCGAGACAAGCCUACGUGUUUCUCUUUUCUCCCCAAAUAGGCAGCACAUCGGCCACAGGCAGCCUUGGACAAGAAACUGGAGUGUUGAUCAUCACAUUCCUCCCUCCCACCAUCACCCAGGCCAGGAGCCGUGGCCGAGAAAGCCCUGGCCCGGAUGCUAGACCUCAGCUUCGUAUCCUCCCCCACUCCCAAGAGAACAGAGAUGGUGAAUAGAUUUAUCUUGAGUUCCGCCCUGGAGGACUGGCUGGGCUGUGGAAUGUGUGUGGAGGAAGACCUUGAGGUGAAGUCUGCCCUGCGCCCAGUAGGGGAGAUAUUUGCCAGCCCCGCCUAAGGGCAGUUUCUCUGAUGUUUCAUUUUCUGUGCUCUGUGAGAAUCACUGAACACACGGCCAGCAGUCUUCAGGGCAUUUCUUUUCCCUGUUGGAGAGACGCUGUUAUUACGCUAUUAUUGGUCCACAAUGUGCUGACUCAGUGGUUACGGCGUAACCCUCCCCUCCACGCUGACUAGAGCAUUGGCCUGGCGUAGGCAAAUGGCUGAGCUCUUCUGGAUGAACUCAGGGCAUCUCUGAGGACUGUGGACCUGGCCCAGCCCUCCGCAGGGUGUAACCCUGCUCUGGGGUGAACUUUCAUUCACUGUGGAGCAGAAAAUGCAUCUAUGAGCAUCAAUUUACUGUGUCCUGCCUGGCUUCAGGGCCUCAGAUGCAUCCUGAAGAGCAUCCAGGGAAGUCUUAGAGCCAUGGGCUUCUCUGCUAAGAACUGGUGAUGUCACGCAGGCUGGAAGCUGACAAUUUAAGUCAAUUCACUCUCCAAAAUGUUGCACCCCUGCUGCGUGUUAAGCUCAUUAAAGUUGGAGAGUUGAAU
rnacentral:lncRNA from 1 species